rnacentral:rRNA from 1 species
UACGUAGGGGGCAAGCGUUGUCCGGAAUCAUUGGGCGUAAAGAGCGUGUAGGCGGCCCGAUUAGUCCGCUGUGAAAGUCCAGGGCUCAACCCUGGAAUGCCGGUGGAUACUGUCGGGCUCGAGUCCGGAAGAGGAGUGUGGAAUUCCUGGUGUAGCGGUGAAAUGCGCAGAUAUCAGGAGGAACACCAAUGGCGAAGGCAGCACUCUGGGACGUGACUGACGCUGAGACGCGAAAGCGUGGGGAGCAAACAGG